rnacentral:rRNA from 1 species
GCAAGUCGAACGCGCAGCGAAAGGUGCUUGCACCUUUCAAGCGAGUGGCGAACGGGUGAGUAACACGUGGAUAACCUGCCUCAAGGCUGGGGAUAACAUUUGGAAACAGAUGCUAAUACCGAAUAAAACUUAGUAUCGCAUGAUACAAAGUUGAAAGGCGCUACGGCGUCACCUAGAGAUGGGUCCGCGGUGCAUUAGUUAGUUGGUGGGGUAAAGGCCUACCAAGACAAUGAUGCAUAGCCGAGUUGAGAGACUGAUCGGCCACAUUGGGACUGAGACACGGCCCAAACUCCUACGGGAGGCUGCAGUAGGGAAUCUUCCACAAUGGGCGCAAGCCUGAUGGAGCAACGCCGCGUGUGUGAUGAAGGCUUUCGGGUCGUAAAGCACUGUUGUAUGGGAAGAAAUGCUAGAAUAGGGAAUGAUUCUAGUUCGACGGUACCAUACCAGAAAGGGACGGCUAAAUACGUGCCAGCAGCCGCGGUAAUACGUAUGUCCCGAGCGUUAUCCGGAUUUAUUGGGCGUAAAGCGAGCGCAGACGGUUGAUUAAGUCUGAUGUGAAAGCCCGGAGCUCAACUCCGGAAUGGCAUUGGAAACUGGUUAACUUGAGUGUUGUAGAGGUAAGUGGAACUCCAUGUGUAGCGGUGGAAUGCGUAGAUAUAUGGAAGAACACCAGUGGCGAAGGCGGCUUACUGGACAACAACUGACGUUGAGGCUCGAAAGUGUGGGUAGCAAACAGGAUUAGAUACCCUGGUAGUCCACACCGUAAACGAUGAAUACUAGGUGUUAGGAGGUUUCCGCCUCUUAGUGCCGAAGCUAACGCAUUAAGUAUUCCGCCUGGGGAGUACGACCGCAAGGUUGAAACUCAAAGGAAUUGACGG